GGGGUCGUGGUCCAGCUUGGCAAGACACACCCUUGGGGUGGGUGUAACCGGGGUUCAAAUCCUCGCGAUCCCA
rnacentral:tRNA from 1 species